rnacentral:piRNA from 1 species
CCCCGAUUAUACAGAGGUUGGAUUUCUGC